UGGGGUAAGGCUCCCAGUAGACGACUGGGUUGAUAGGCCAGAUAUGGAAGCACCGUAAGGUGUGGAGUUGACUGGUACUAAUAGGCCGAGGGCUUGUCCUC
rnacentral:rRNA from 1 species